AUGGAUGGAUGCAGGCGGGCACAUCAACCCGACGGUGACCUUCGGGCUGUUCCUGGCGAGAUUAUCGGCACCUUCUUCCUCGUCUACACUGUCUUCUCCGCCACCGAUGCCAAGACGAACGCCAGGGACUCCCACGUUCCCAUGAAUCCUUGCCCCGCUGCCAAUCGGGUUUGCCGUGUUCCUGGUCCACCUGGCCACCAUCCCUAUCACUGGCAUCGUCAUCAACCUGGCGAGGAGCCUCGGCACGGCCAUCAUCUACAACAGGGAGCAUGCCUGGUCAGACCACGUGAGUGA
rnacentral:rRNA from 1 species